GCAUAUCAAUAAGCGGAGGAAAAGAAACCAACAGGGAUUGCCCUAGUAACGGCGAGUGAAGCGGCAACAGCUCAAAUUUGAAAUCUGGCUCUCUUUGGGGGUCCGAGUUGUAAUUUGCAGAGGAUGCUUUGGCAUUGGCAGCGGUCUAAGUUCCUUGGAACAGGACAUCACAGAGGGUGAGAAUCCCGUACGUGGUCGCUUGCCUUUGCCGUGUAAAGCUCCUUCGACGAGUCGAGUUGUUUGGGAAUGCAGCUCUAAAUGGGAGGUAAAUUUCUUCUAAAGCUAAAUACUGGCCAGAGACCGAUAGCGCACAAGUAGAGUGAUCGAAAGAUGAAAAGUACUUUGGAAAGAGAGUCAAAAAGCACGUGAAAUUGUUGAAAGGGAAGCGCUUGCAGCCAGACUUGCCCGCAGUUGCUCACCUAGGCUUUCGCCUGGGGCACUCUUCUGCGGGCAGGCCAGCAUCAGUUUGGGCGGUUGGAUAAAGGCCUCUGUCACGUAUCUUCCUUCGGGAUGACCUUAUAGGGGAGGCGUAAUGCAACCAGCCCGGACUGAGGUCCGCGCAUCUGCUAGGAUGCUGGCGUAAUGGCUGUAAGCGGCCCGUCUUGAAACACGGACCAAGGAGUCUAACAUCUAUGCGAGUGUUUGGGUGUCAAGCCCGAGCGCGUAAUGAAAGUGAACGGAGGUGGGAACCUUUUAGGUGCACCAUCGACCGAUCCUGAUGUCUUCGGAUGGAUUUGAGUAAGAGCAUAGCUGUUGGGACCCGAAAGAUGGUGAACUAUGCUUGAAUAGGGUGAAGCCAGAGGAAACUCUGGUGGAGGCUCGCAGCGGUUCUGACGUGCAAAUCGAUCGUCAAAUUUGGGCAUAGGGGCGAAAGACUAAUCGAACCAUCUAGUAGCUGGUUCCUGCCGA
rnacentral:rRNA from 1 species